AAGUCGUAACAAGGUUUCCGUAGGUGAACCUGCGGAAGGAUCAUUAUUGAAUUCACUGGUCUCAGUUGUUGCUGGUCGCUAUAUGCGUCAAGUGCACGCUGUAGACUCUUUGAUAUUUAUCCACCUGUGCACCUUUGCAGCUUCUGGUUCCUAUUCUCUGUGCUCCUGCAUGGGUUGGUAGCUUGUAGGGACUUUGUUCUUACUGCUGCUGAGGAAGCAGAGCUGCGUUUUUCACAAACACUGCUGUAUGUUUACGAAUGUUUAAAUAUUAUUGGUCGACAGACCUCUAAUCAAUCAUAACACAACUAUUGACAACGGAUCUCUUGGCUCAC
rnacentral:misc_RNA from 1 species